UGAUGGCGACCGGCGCACGGGUGAGUAACACGUAUCCAACCUGCCUCAUACUCGGGGAUAGCCUCUCGAAAGAAAGAUUAAUAUCCGAUAGCAUAUAUUUCCCGCAUGGGUUUUAUAUUAAAGAAAUUCGGUAUGAGAUGGGGAUGCGUUCCAUUAGUUUGUUGGGGGGGUAACGGCCCACCAAGACUACGAUGGAUAGGGGUUCUGAGAGGAAGGUCCCCCACAUUGGAACUGAGACACGGUCCAA
rnacentral:rRNA from 1 species